UGGAAAAAGCUAGUGAAGAUUUUAACAAUGUAUCUGAUAUACGAUAGAGCACGACAGGUCAAAUUCCAAAAUAUUCAACAUGUACACAAUUUUACUGGAAGAAUCACAUAAUAUAAUUCUUUCAACUUGAUUGACAUGAUAAUGGUUACAAAAACUGAACCGGACUGGCCAGUUUGAUUGGAUAACCGAUGAAUCGGACCUCUGGCCGCUUUGGUUUUUUCUCGGGACUGUAAUUGUGUUCGCCUGUUCGGACUAGAUAGAAACCGUUGAACCAGCCAUUUUCUCAAAAAUUGUAUCCCUGUCCAAACCGAGUUCACAAAUUGUAACUAAAAUGCAUUUAAAACGGGAUUCAAGCCAAUGUCUGUCGAGACACUGGGCCGGGUCCGCCUUGGUUGGCCUGGGCCGGGCCAGUGGCUGUUCAACGCUCGGCGUGUGAGACGGAGUGGAACCCUAGGGCGCGUUGGACUCCGGUGAGGCUUCUUCCUCCGCGAGUCCGGCGGAAGGAAGGAUUCCUAGGGCACAUUGGAUUCCGGUGAACCCUAGGAAUUGAUCUAUAAAUCCCUCUCCCCUUCCCUUUGAGCACCUCUGUGAUGAGUUCCAAUCAACCAUCGCCGGAUUCUUUCCCUCCUUGCGGCGUCUCAGCCAUCGUGCUCGCUGGGGAGUGCAGCCAAGUACCUCGUCGGAGCUGAGGUGAGCAAUUAUCUAGACAAGAAAGCGAUUGAGCAAGGUAUUGUACAUCUCUAUUCUUAAAACGAGGUGUGGACUGAGUUGAGUCUGUCAUCGAUAGAGAAUUGUAGGAUGUUUAGUACUUGGCUAUGGUUGAAUCGCGAGUGAAAGGAUAAAUAGAUAGACCACCGUCGAUACUGGUCGGAUGAUCAAAUUUUAUAAUUAUACAAGUUUUGUUAUUUGUUAUGAAUUGAGACCACUUAUGUUUAGUGAUAUUGAGGUUGUAAUAAAUUUUCAGGCCUUUCAUUAUCUCUAGGGCAUCGCUUAAAGUUCAUGUGGUUGUGUCGCAUGGCUGACCCAGGUGUUGAGUUCGGGGUGUGACAUUAGGUCAGUAUGACCGUGAAACUUAAAAUAUUUAUGGUAGAACUAUUUCAACUAUAUUAUCAUAUUUUAAUAAUAAUUUAUUUUCAUAAAAAAUAAAACUCUUUGCUUUUUGAUACAAAACCCAAAACAUAAACAUCAUUUUAUUGUUCUACCAUAUUUUACAUAUUAGAUUCAGCUUAAUAGAUUCUACAUGUUUUCUAUAUUAUACAUUUUUAGCAAAUUUAAAAUAAAUUAUUCAUCAUUAUUUUUUAUUUAUAAUGCAAUUAAACAUUAAUAUAAAAUAAUGAUCUAUGUUAUUUAAAGCAUACUUUUUAAAAGACAAUUUGAUCCACGAGGAUUCUUAGAUUGACGUACAUCACUUUGGCCACUAUGAGCAGAGUUGCAAAGGGACUAGGAGCAAGAUCCGCUACAUUGAAAAAUCGAGUCGUAGGCCAAACUUUCGGAGACCAUAACUUGGUCAUAUGACGUCUGAUUGAAAUUAUCUUUUUUUUUUUUUUUAAAUCGGACAGUUUUUUGAGAUCUAUGACAUGAUGCCCUACCCUUUAGGGGGUGGUGCCUCUAGGAAUUGAGCCUAAUUCCAUCGUUUGGGGCCCGAAAUAGGCCGAUCAAACCAAAAAAAAAAUAGAUAAAACUUUGACCGGCUGUAGCUCUCUAUCCGAGAAGAAUUAGACGGAGCGACUGAAGACAGAGUUGAUGUAAAAGUCGAGAUCUACCUCCUUAUAAUUUUUAACUUUUUCUAGAAGAUUUCUACUAGUAAUGUCUAUUUUAGAAAAGAGAGUUCUGCUAUGAUUAGAAAGAGAAAUUUGACCUAAAUUGUGUAAAGGAGGACCUCACAUUAUACAUAGAGGCUAUAUAUCUUUUUUUUUUAAUCAUCAAGGGGACUUAAGCUCUAUUUUUGAAAUUCUUCUAUCUUCUUCUAGUUAUUUUUCGAUAGAUUCGAGUUGAGCGGGUUGAAGAAAAUCUUCCAUUUCUCCAAUUGGAUCACAAUUGAUCACUUAUUAUGCAUAUUUUUCUAAUAUUGUAGCUAUUUUAUUAUUUUUCAAUUAUAACCUAGUCUGACUGAUUGACCCGACGGUCAGACCAAUGAUGCCGUGGCAUGGACCCUUGACUGGGACAGUCACCAGUUUGAUUUUAAUAACUAUGGUGAUGAGUCCAUGACUGUUAACUUGCAUCAAUCACCAAAAUGACAUUGAUGGGCCAGAAGCAUCACCAAAAGAAAUUAGCUGUUCUCAAUAGAGAGGAUUCAAGAGAAUAGCUAAGAGGGAGAAAGUUAACAACAUUAAGUAUUUGUUCUUUGGUUUGGAUUUUUGCACUUUUUAAAAAAAUAGUAUAAAGUAUGUGGCUAUUAAUCAUUAUUUUUGAUUUUUUAUAUCCACAAAUUUUCGUUGAAUAUCGUAGUUAUGGUUUACUUUUUCAAGCAGCGAUAAAAACAAAGGAUAUACUAUUAGAAAUUAAGUCGAUUUUGGAAGAAACUAUUAGUGUUGUUACAAUAUCGAGCCCAAUGGGCAUACAUAGCUCGAAUUUAAAAUCAGAUUGGAUGAAUUUGGGAUCCUGCACACAAACGCAAAAACUUUGAAAAGUAAGAUGUUUGGUGGUAGUCAUAUUGGUAACAUGGAGAGAUGUUAGUUGGUGAUGAAGUCAAUGCAGUUGCUUUCUUGGAGCUUGUUGUGAAGUGGACAGGUAAGGAGGGUUUGCUGCUUGUAUCUGUUUCUGUGACAGCGAAAUAGGCCUUUCACUUGCAAUAGUUGGCAGGUCAACUUUCAAGAAUGAUUGUACCAUGAUAUGAAAUCUGAAGAUAAUCUGCUGUUUUUAUCAUCCAACUUUUAUGUUAUGAUCAAUUGGUUAUCUUGUUUCAUCUGCUUUUAGGUUGCUGGCAUCCUCGGUCUCCAUUGGUUUGAUUUUCAGAAAAGAAUCCUUGCUGGAUUCCUUAAUUUUAAGAAAUUUAUACUUCUCAUUUGCAUGCAUUCUUUCAGGUGCUUGUGUCACUGCUGGCAUAGGUGUGUCUGAGACCGUGCAUGCAUAUUUAUUGCUGUGUGCAAUUACAGCUGCACAUUAACUACCUACAAAUUCUGCAAUCUUUGUAUCAUUUCAUAUCUUUUGAAAAUGAAUCCCGACCAAAUUGAUUUAGAUAGCAUGAGUUCAUUAAGUCUUCCCUUCAAUUUGUGAUUGGUACGAGGGUUUCUCAUUAUGCUUAUUAAAAUUCAUAUGUCAUACUAUAUUUAUAUCAAUUGUAGCAUGCUAAAGCUAAUACUUCUGUUUGAAUUAUCUUUUUUUUUUUUGCUUUGAAGUUUGAAUUAUCUUUGAAGGAAGAAAUAUUGGAUGAAACAGACGUUAUGUUGAUGUCCACAACAAGAUCAAAAUAAUUAUGUUACCACCAAGAAGAUUAUCACCAAGAUCUCCAGGAGCUGCAUAUAUCUCUCAUUUUGCACGAUUAGUGCUAACAGCUUCUCCCUUUUCUCCCUAUCAUCAUACUUCCAUGUCAUGCUCACCUGUUUCUCCAAAUUUUCAAGCUGCUGGUCCAACAGCAACCAUUUCAAAUUCUCCUUGAAAGUUGUCGCCAAGUUCACCAGCUAAUCAUGCAGGUCUAAGCCACAGUUUACCAGCUUCAAAUUGAGUAAGUGGAAUACUCUUCAGCUUUGCUUUGCAGGGGGUCAUUCUUCCUGAAUGUCUGAGCGCAUUGAUUGUUGAUGCUGCUACUUUACUGGAACUUUUUAUACCAUUGAACUAUUCAUUCAGUCAUUUUGAUUACUGUAUUUUUUUCACUGUUUUAGUUGACUGAUAUCUAUGUCAUCAUUCUUUGUCUCUGCUCUAUUUUUUUUUGGUUACUUUUGCCUCUGUUCUCUAUUCUGCAAUUAACCUAAAUUAUUGCUAGUUAUGAUACAUGGGGUGUUUCAGAAAAGGAAUAGAAAUUUUGGUUCUCUUGUGACAAUAUAAGAAACUCAAAAAGGCGUCCGGCCCUCUAUUUGGCAUGUUGCAACUGGAAACGUGCUAGUCUCAUCACAACUACUACUCAUAACCUGUAAAUGUACUCCAGACACGUAUUAGGUGGAUCGUUAUAAACCUUUAAUUUCUCGUUCCUCUUUACAAGCUUCCAAAUUCACCAAUAGAAGAUAGGGUACUGUUUUUUCUUGAAAAAAGGCUACUUUACUGAAUAAAACACAUUGUGUAGUCAGUAUACGGUUAGUGAUGGAAUUAGUUUUCAUGACUUUCUUGAAUGAUGGCUGCACUUGUAUGGCGGCACAAUAACACUGUUACUUGAGAUCAACUUUGAUGAACAGUACCUUACUAUUUUCUUGAGUAGUUCUAUUGGUACCUUUAUCGACAAUGCUUGUUUUUCCACAUGUUUGAUUAACUUUGCUGCAAAUUAGCAGGUCUCAAGAAAUCAUACGAGAAGCUUCAAAAAAAUUGAGAGAGCGAGGAUUGAUUGCCUAUCUUAGCUUGCUAUGUAGUAUGUAUAUUGUUUAUUGCUUUUGUAUAUAGCAUGUGCUGAAAUAUCAGUCCAAUUUAAUGUUUUCAUCAUUCUAAAUGUUUCAUGACUAUUUAUGAUAAUUUUACUUUAUUGAAAAAUGGAAGGAAGGAAAACAUAGGUUGCAAAUUGUGUUU